CUGCGAUUCACUGAACAACCAUUGGUAUUAGAAUUGAAAUCUUCCCAUACUUUCUCUGGUUCCUCCACUGGGGAAGGGCCCUGGCAAAUGUGUUGCUUUUCAUUUUUGAGGGGAGGAAGAAGAGUGUCUGGAGCACUGAAUCCAACAGGGCCUCUAUCCAUCGUACCACCCAGUUGCCUAUUAAGUGACUUGCAGUUGAUAUGUGUGAGGAGCAUAACAAAUCCAGAUCUUCUUGAAUCCAACAUCGGCACUACCCAAUGCCUGCUACCACAGGCAAAAUUUUAC